UCUUUCUCCUCUCCAUAACUGUGUAUACAUUGUUCCCUUUUCAGAUAACAGCCUUCUGAAUUGUUUUGAGUUGAACCUGCCUUGACCACAGCCUGUGAGAGUGCAUUCCAGACGCUGACCAUUUUGAUGUCUGAAAUUUGUUUUUCUUGUUACUUUUGCGGAGGACCUUGCAGAAAUAUUUGCAUCAUCUACAACUACAGUGAAUGGUGUCAAGUUCUCUGAACUGUCCAUGUUAUUGGUUCCAAAAAUGAAGAAUUUUAUUAAUGUGAAUCUUUGCUCUGCACCCUUGCUGAUGCCUACAUGUCCUUCCUAAAGUGGUGCUGGAGAUGGGUAGUACUCCAGCUGUCCUUGUUUUAAAAUCUUACUGGACCACACAGAAAUUGGGACAGAACUGCUAGUGACUAGAAAAAUGAGGAAAGCUAAACUUGUCUUCAAAGGAGCUCUAAUGUAAGAUGUGCAUAUUUGGCAAUAAAGUUAACACAUUUCUGCUCA